GCAGUGAGGAAUAUUGGUCAAUGGGCGCAAGCCUGAACCAGCCAUGCCGCGUGAAGGAUGAAGGCGUUCUGCGUCGUAAACUUCUUUUAUCUGGGAAGAAACCUACCUUUUCUAAGGUAGCCGACGGUACCAGAGGAAUAAGCACCGGCUAACUCCGUGCCAGCAGCCGCGGUAAUACGGAGGGUGCGAGCGUUAUCCGGAUUUACUGGGUUUAAAGGGUGUGUAGGCGGACUAUUAAGUCAGUGGUGAAAUCUUCAGGCUCAACCUGGAAACUGCCGUUGAUACUAUUAGUCUUGAAUACUGUGGAGGUGAGCGGAAUGUGUCAUGUAGCGGUGAAAUGCAUAGAGAUGACACAGAACACCGAUUGCGAAGGCAGCUCACUACGCAGUGAUUGACGCUGAGGCACGAAAGCGUGGGGAUCAAACAGGAUUAGA
rnacentral:rRNA from 1 species